CGUGUGGUUCUAUUUUGUUGGUUUCUAGGACCGCCGUAAUGAUUAAUAGGGAUAGUUGGGGGCAUUAGUAUUGCGCUGUCAGAGGUGAAAUUCUUGGAUUUGCGCAAGACUAACUUCUGCGAAAGCAUUUGCCAAGGAUGUUUUCAUUAAUCAAGAACGAAAGUUAGGGGAUCGAAAACGAUUAGAUACCGUUGUAGUCUUAACCAUAAACUAUGCCGACUAGGGAUCGGGCGAUGUUUUUUUCUUGACUCGCUCGGCACCUUAUGAGAAAUCAAAGUCUUUGGGUUCCGGGGGGAGUAUGGUCGCAAGGCUGAAACUUAAAGGAAUUGACGGAAGGGCACCACCAGGAGUGGAGCCUGCGGCUUAAUUUGACUCAACACGG
rnacentral:rRNA from 1 species